AGUGAACGCUGGCGGCGUGCCUAAUACAUGCAAGUCGAACGGAGUGGCGAAGGGGUGAGUACUAUAUAGUUAAUCUGCCCCUUGCUGGCCGUCAACAGGUAAAAAUGCUUGCUAAUACUCCAUAGCAAGGGCUGAGACUUUAUCGUAUCAGCUAGUCGGUGGGGUAAAGGCCUACUGAGGCUAUGACGCGUAACGGGACGGAGAGGAUGAUCAGUCACAUUGGAAGUGAGGCACGGGCCAAACACCUUCGGGAAGCAGCGGUAGGGUAUACUGCGCAAUGGGGGAGACCCUGACGGAGCUACGGCGCGUGGAGUAUGACACUUUGAGGAGCGUAAACUCCUUAGUUUAGGGAAGCGGUACCUAACGAGUAAGCACCGGCUAACUCCGUGCCAGCAGCCGCGGUAAUAC
rnacentral:rRNA from 1 species